UGUUGCGAAUUCCUCACGCUACGGAGACUGUGUAGUCACGGCUACGUAAGUUGCGUAAGAAAUCCCAGAGAUUGCAUCGUGUUUCUUUUCAUUACGGUUUCCCAUUCAGAAGUCAGAGACGAUAUGUAGAUGGAAAUAAGCAUGAUGAUCCAGUGUGUCACCUGCCACCUCUGGCUGCCUCGACUGUGUCCCAGGACUGAUACCAAGGUCAGGAUGUGGUGACCAGUGGAAAGAGCUUGGCAUGAGAUCUGUGCCAGUGCAGUCUAGAUUGUGCCACUCUAACGAGAGAGUGGGUGUCAAACACAGACAUCAGCACAGCUUGCCAGGGACAUGGCACCACAUUGAAGCCAAUGGCUGCAGAGAAACAUGAAUAUAUGUCUGCUGCAACCCACUCAUCCAGAACCUGAUCCCUUUGGUUCACUUAAAUCUGAAGGAAUAACUCUAUAUCAUACAAAACCUUCUGAUGUUCUGUCCUUAU